UGGGGAAUUUUGGACAAUGGGGGCAACCCUGAUCCAGCCAUGCCGCGUGCGGGAAGAAGGCCUUCGGGUUGUAAACCGCUUUUAGUCGGGAAGAAAAGGUUACUCCGAAUAAGGGUGACUCUUGACGGUACCGGCGGAAUAAGCACCGGCUAACUACGUGCCAGCAGCCGCGGUAAUACGUAGGGUGCGAGCGUUAAUCGGAAUUACUGGGCGUAAAGCGUGCGCAGGCGGUUCGUUAAGUUCGAUGUGAAAGCCCCGGGCUCAACCUGGGAAUGGCAUUGAAAACUGGCGGGCUUGAGUCUGGCAGAGGGGGGUGGAAUUCCGCGUGUAGCAGUGAAAUGCGUAGAGAUGCGGAGGAACACCGAUGGCGAAGGCAGCCCCCUGGGCCAAGACUGACGCUCAGGCACGAAAGCGUGGGGAGCAAACAGG
rnacentral:rRNA from 1 species